UCCCUGGUGGCUCAGAUGGUAAAGCAUCUGCCUACAAUGUGGGAGACCCAGGUUCAAUUCCUGGAUUGGGAA
rnacentral:tRNA from 1 species